rnacentral:lncRNA from 1 species
UGGUUUGUUGUAGCACAGUAAACACAUUUUUAAUGGCAUUAAGCCCAGGGAAUUCAGCUGUGAACAGCCAGAGGGAAGAAGCGAAAAAAUUAUCUAGGCCAGGGUGAUGAAGAUGGGGCGAGUUCAAAGACAAUGUGUUUAAACCUUGAAGACACACCCAGAUGCCGUGGUUUGUAACCAGCAGUAACUUCUAAAAUUAAGAACUUAUUUUUUUAAAAAAUCCAGCAGGAUAAACAUGAAUCCAAGGAUUGUAGAACCUUUUUUAGGGAUGUAUAAACCCAACUUCAUCACAACGAGCCAAUGAAAGUGAGUGUCCCAGGACACAAAUGAGUUCGGCAUUAAUUCACUUUAUAAUUCUUUUCAUUCCUAUUGCCAAGGAAUAAAAGAAUGGAUAAAAAAAAAAGGUGAUCAUUAAGUGCUUACAUUAUGUCAAGCACUGGUCUAACAGCUGUAGAUAGAAAGUGGGGGGGGGGGGGGAAGCAAAUAUUCCCCCCUCCCUCCUCCCUGCCCUGAAAGAGCUUACAUUUUUAUGGGUUGAGCUGGCACCCGUAGGGGAGUGGUGGCCAAGGAAGCACACUUUGGAAUAACCAAACCACACUUGGAGGAACACUGGGAUUUUUUUCCCCUGCUCAACAGAAUUUAUUGAAUUGAUAACUGGACAAGUCACGUGUGUACAAAAUGGCGCUCACAAUAGCCCAAAGCCUGGCACUGGGAGGAGUUAGGGGCGUGGGGCAGGAAGCAGCUACUGGGCUUUCCGGGAGAAGGUCGGAGGCGUGGUUACCCAAGAGACCCCACUGGCUUUGGUCAUCAAACUCAAGCAGAGCCCAAUGCUGGGCUGGGGCAAACAAAAUGAGGGCUGAAGACCCAGCGAUUCCAACUUCCCAGUUCAGCUCUUCCUUGCUGAGAGGAGUGUGCUGA